rnacentral:tRNA from 18 species
UCCGCAGUAGCUCAGUGGUAGAGCUAUCGGCUGUUAACCGAUCGGUCGCAGGUUCGAGUCCUGCCUGCGGAGCCA